GCCAGCAUGGCAUAGUGGUUUGAGCGUUAGGCUGUGACUUUAAAUACCAGGGUUCAAAUCCCCACUUGACC